CCUUACCUGGCCUUGACAUACUAAGAACUUUCCAGAGAUGGAUUGGUGCCUUCGGGAACUUAGAUACAGGUGCUGCAUGGCUGUCGUCAGCUCGUGUCGUGAGAUGUUGGGUUAAGUCCCGCAACGAGCGCAACCCUUUUCCUUAUUUGCCAGCGGGUUAAGCCGGGAACUUUAAGGAUACUGCCAGUGACAAACUGGAGGAAGGCGGGGACGACGUCAAGUCAUCAUGGCCCUUACGGCCAGGGCUACACACGCGCUACAAUGGUCGGUACAAAGGGUUGCUACCUCGCGAGAGGAUGCUAAUCUCAAAAAGCCGAUCGUAGUCCGGAUCGCAGUCUGCAACUCGACUGCGUGAAGUCGGAAUCGCUAGUAAUCGCGGAUCAGAAUGCCGCGGUGAAUACGUUCCCGGGCCUUGUACACACCGCCCGUCACACCAUGGGAGUUUGUUGCACCAGAAGUAGGUAGUCUAACCGCAAGGAGGACGCUUACCACGGUGUGGCCGAUGACUGGGGUGAAGUCGUAACAAGGUAGGCGUAGAUGA
rnacentral:rRNA from 1 species